CUAUUUGCCUUUUUUUUUUUUUUUAAGGAGAGAGAAAGCUGCCAGCUUUGGAGCUCAGUGAUCUGAGAGAUAAUGAUGAAAAGCAGACAGGGGAAGCCAGGUUGUAAAAGUGUUUGUUGGGCAGGAGUAAAGGGGCCCAGGCUGUCAAGAGCAGUGGAGCUGGCCUGAGAGAAGACUGGAUGUCUCUGGAGAAGUCUCUGGAUGAUGAAGAAGCCGUGGAGCCAGGAAGUGUCUGUCGGCGGGAACUAAUCCUAGUCACACUGCUACACAAAUGUCCAGCGACUUCACAUCAGUCCUGCUGGUCUCUGCAAGCUUCCAGUUCUUGUCCCUUAGGAUUCUCUCCAUGAAGGAAAAAUGUUUGGAAGAUCUGGGAGGAAAUGGAGUGACAGUUUUCUAAGUGUCUUCUGUCCAGAGACAAAGAGCUUUCUCUUAUACCACAUGGGACAGUUGACCUGAGAACAUGGAGCAGCUAUAGAAGAAGGAGAAACUACCCUGAGAACAACUGACCAGGAGAACUGCAGUCAACCAGUUAUAAUGCCUGGAGAAUCCCAGACUGAUGAGGGAGGUCCUUCCAGUCUGAACAGAGCACAUUAAGACUCCAUGGUCCCAGAGAGGUACAGUGGGAGGCUGCCCAGCCCCCUCCCUCAGCUCCACUCCCUUUUGAAGCCUAAUCAAUAAGAAUGUCACAGAGGUGCUUUCUGAUUCAGGAAAAACCAGGGAGCCUUGCGAGGCAAGUGGAUACCCCAAUCUCCUAGUGAAUGGCAUGCUCAAAACAUCCGAUAGCUUGAGGUCCCCUUCUGGGGCUUAUUCUCAGACUGCUCGAUUUCGAACUCAUUUCCAUUUGAGGCAAAACCAUUCCACUCGUUGAUGCUAACAGGCGGGAAACCGGGCCCCUAAGUUUGCUAAAUGAAAUAUUAUUUUUCCCAUGCCUUUCCACAUCACCAGCCUUUGCUUAUUUGGUGAAAAAAAAAAAAAAA